UCGCCCGAGAACUACGAGCACACGCUUAAAACUCAAAGGACUUGACGGUGUCCCACCCAACUAGAGGAGCCUGUUCUAUAAUCGAUAAUCCCCGAUAAACCUCACCACUUCUAGCCCAUCAGUCUGUAUACCUCCGUCGAAAGCUUACCCUGUGAACGAUCAUUAGUAAGCAGUAAGGUCUAUCCACCAAAACGUCAGGUCAAGGUGCAGCUUACGAAGUGGGAAGAAAUGGGCUACAAUUUCUAAACUAGAACAAACGAAAAGAUCUGCAUGAAACACAGUCAUGAAGGCGGAUUUAGUAGUAAAAAGAAAAUAGAGUGUUCUUUUUAACCGAGCACUGGNUACCG
rnacentral:rRNA from 1 species